GGAGUCUGAUUUUGAGGAAAUCGCUAUUGAACAACCACCAAUCUACCUGGGGUACCAAGAAAGGAGAGAUGCUCUCAGAGGAAAUGGACCAUGUCCCUGGACAGAACAACCAGGCAGCAGAGGUGACUGACCUGAAAGCCCCUCCUUCGUGCUGGUGCAUUUUCCUAGCUGG
rnacentral:lncRNA from 9 species